rnacentral:SRP_RNA from 1 species
GCCAGGCGCAGUGAUGUGUGCCUGUAAUCCCAGCUGCUUGUGAGGCUGAGGUGAGAGGAUUGCUUGAGCCCAGGAUUUCUGGGCUGCCAUGCAAUAUGUCGAUCGGGUGUCUGCAUUAAGUGAGGCAUGAAUACUGUGACCGCCUGGGAGGAGAUGACCAUCAGGUUACCUAAGGAGGGAUGAACCUGCCCAGGUCAGAAACAGAGCAGGUCAAGGAUAUGAAAACACAAACCACAGAAUUGCAGAAAAUAUUUGCAAAUCAUCUAUCCAAUAAGAGAAGUAUUUUCAU